CAAGCCUCUGCGGCAGUUUCCUGAUCUUCUGGAUAUGCUGCCACGCUGUCCCAGGGCUGGUGGUGUCCCCUGACUUGUUCCUCUCCUGACUUUCUCAGCCUGGAGACUGAAAGCUCUCUUUGGCUGUUGGCCCUCCCAGGCAGAGUCCACUGGCUGUUAGGGUGAAAUGGGGCUGAUGCUUCCUGGAAUCCACCAGAAGUAUGCAAAUUGCACCAUCUCUUUCAGCUGCCUGCGCCUGCAUUCCAUCGAGGAUUCCGAGUGAAUUUGGACAGCAGCCUGAGCAGAUCUCUGCCCAUGGCCACAGAAGAUGCCAGCCUGAAGUUUUUGAUGUUCUUGUUUGCCACCAUCUCAACACUGUGACUUGGACCUCCCUCAGUGCCAUCCCUAAGUUGUGUUUUCUAAUACUGCUCUGCGAGCAGAAGCCUGAAGCCAGUGGUUGUCUGGGCAGAUAAGAUGCAUCUGAAACUGACUUUCCACAGGUGGCCCCUUUUCCUUCAUCCUUUUUCUUCAAUGACUUAAGCCUCCCUUCUGACACUAGCUUUAUCUUUCCUGGACCCUGGAGACAACUGUUAUGGUUCAAAAUAUGAAAAGAACCAUUCUCAGUUGCCUGAGAAGGCUUCUUUUAUGAGAUAAUACUUGAUAUUUGUACAGUGUGUUACAGUUUGCAAAGUGACUUCACAUACAUCUUUUCUUUCCAUGUCUUAAAACAUCAUUGUGUUUGAUCUUUCUUGUGAGGUGAGGAAAUGGGGCUGGGUAAGUUCUUUCUUACCCUGGGUUAAGAAGAGCUAGUACUGGAACUCACAAGCUUGAAGAAUGGCUAAGUUCAAAGCUGGGACAAUGGGUCCAAACUGAGCUGUCUAUAAAGAGGGAUUUAGUAGCUGGGACUAGGGUCUGGAGGAAGCGGGAGGGUAUCCUUAAUAGACAAGUUGGAGGUGAUCUCAUUGAAGAAUUGAUGACAAUAAUGGUAUUUUGGAGAAAAUACUCCAAUUGCUUAAGGCAAUAGACAGAGAUAGCAUGUUUAAAAUGUAUUUUGGAUGUGUAUCCAUAUCCUGUACAUUUUGUUUUCCUGGGGUUCUCCACCUAUGAAAGCAAUAGAUUUUAGUGCUUUAGGAAGGGCAGCAGCCACCUCAACGCAGAGGUUAUUGCUCAGUUUAAAUCUCAGUGCCACAUUCUUGUUUUUGAGUCCAUCAAGACAAAACAGUCUUGAAAGUAAGAUUUUGUGUAGAAAGCAAAUAAAUUUCUAAAUUCAGCAACCUUCCAAUAAUAUGAUCAUAGAAUUUCCCUGUAAACAAUAGGGUAGAGAUAAUUCAGACUAUGGUAUGAUGGAAGUCACUUGGGAAGCUCACCCCUUCUCACCUGAGGGGCAUGGAGAAAGAAGGGAGAGGUGGAGGAAGGACAAUGGAGUCGGAGUGCUGUGUCCUCAUUUUUAUUCCCGUAGGCCAAAUCACUGAACACAGUAGAAACUUUCAGAUAGAGGCCGGGUGCAGUGGCUCAUGCCUGUAAUCCCAGCACUUUGGGAGGCUGAGGCGGGCGGAUCACCUGAGGUCAGGAGUUCGAGACCAGCCUGACCAACAUGGAGAAACCCUGUCUCUACUAAAAAUACAAAAUUAGCCGGGUGUGGUGGUGCAUGCCUGUAAUCCCAGCUACUCGGGAGGCUGAGGCAGGAGAAUCGCUUGAACCCACAAGGCAGAGGUUGCGGUGAGCCAAGAUUAUGCCAUUGCACUCCAGUCUGGGCAACAAGAGUGAAACUCCAUCUCAAAAAAAAAAAAAAAAGAAAAAAAAAAGAAAAAGAAAUAUUCAGAUAGAUAUGAAGGAAGCUAAGAACAUGGCGGUUAAUGUCUCCAGCCUUACAUUCCCCUCAACAUGGCACAGGAACUAAAGUGAAAGGAGACGGGUAAUUAGAUGAGACCAAGGCAGUGCUCCUGUUCUCCAUGGCCUGGGAAUGUUGUGCACUGGAACUUAGGAGUUCUAAUGUGCCCUGGUUGAGGUGCUGGGAGAGCUUGUAGUCCAGCAGAGGCCUGGGGAUAGAACAAAGUGUUCAGUGAAUAGGGGACUUCGCAACUGGAAAGAAAGGACCAAACCUGUGGUUUUUAGUGGUUGGGAGCUCAUGCAUCAUUCUGACAAGUCAGAAUCAGUUAUGAAAGAGUCUAGGAAACAGACUAGACGAAUAACCCAGGCAGACAUCAGCUUGGACCAGAGGUUAGUUCUCUCCCAUUACCACAAGGUGAAGUAGGAUCCAUGAUGUGCCUGCUACCAUUAAGGAAAAGUCAGGGUAGUGGUGGAGUGCCUAGGGAGGAAAUUUGGAAGUCUGAACAUUUACCCUGGAGAAACUGAACUAUCUGAAAACAUGUUUAUGUCAGUGCUAGUAAUUUUCAAGAUUAACUUCUUGUCUUAAGCCAAGUUUUGAGAACACAGAAUUUGAGAUAAAGAUUAUAUGCUAAAGCUUUACUGAAUGGUGCAGGCCUAGGACAGCAAAAAUAAGGGAAAAAACAAAAGUGAGGCAGGGAAGGGGAGAAGUAAGCCAUAGUCUCACAAAAAGCCCAUUUGGUUUCAGACAUAUGGGACUUCCUCCAGAUGGGCCAUGAGAGAUCAUCAUACCUCAAAACAGUCUGUGUGGGGAGGGGUGAUUUGAAUUUUUCUUUUGCAUUCUCUUCUUUCUUGUCUUUCAGUGAUCAUCAUUUGCCCCAUGGUAUAUUAACUCUAUUACACUGUGAGGUUAUAUAACCUGUUCCCUAUGGUAGGAUUCUGAAGAAGUUAGAGUUCCAAUGCUCAAGCCAUAUUCCUUUACGGUAGUUUUAAAAUAUUUUCACAAAUGCUUUCACAAUUCUCUCUUUAAGAGGUGGAGCUUAAUUCCCCUCUACUUGAGUGUGGGCUGGUCUUAGAGACUUGAUUCUAACAAAUAGAAUAAAGUGAAUGUGACAUUGUGUGAUUGCAGAGAUUAGGUCAUAAAAAGCACUGUGUCUUCUUCCUUACUCUUUAACAACAGCUGACCCUUGAACAACAUGGGGAUUAGGGGUGCCAACCCCUGCGUAGUCAAAAAUGCAUGUAUAAUUUUGAUCCCUCCCAAAACUUGACUACUAAUAGUCUGUUAUUAAUCAGAAGCUUUAUAGCUAGUAUAAACAGUUGAUUAACACAUAUUUUGUAUGUUAUAUGUAAGAAAAUUGUAAGGAAGAGAAAAUAUAUUUACUAUUAAUUAAGUGGAAGUAUAUCAUUAUAAAGGUCUUCAUCCUUGUAAUCUUCACCUUGAGUGGGCUGAGGAGGAGGAGGAAGAGGAGGGGUUGGUCUUGCUGUCUGAGGGGUGGCAGACACAGAAGAAAGUCCACAUGUAAGUUUAUCCUCUUGGUUCAAACCCAUGCUGUUUAAGGGUCAACUGUUCUUGCUUUGGGAGAAGCCAGCUUCCUUUGUGAGAAUGCACAAGCAGCCCAUAGAGAGGUCUGCAUGAUGAGGAUCUAAAGCUUCCUGCCAACAGCCAUGACAGUGAGGCAUUUUGGCAGCGGAUCUUUCAGGCUCUGUCAAGCCUUCAGAUGAUUGCAGUUCUUGUCAACAUCCUGACAGCCAUUUCAUGAGAGACCCUCAGCCAGAAACAUCCUGCUAAGCCACUCCCAGAUUCUUGACCAACUCAAUCUGUGAGAUAAUCUUUAUUGCUUAAGCCACAAGUUUUGAAGUAAUUUGUUAAAAAGCAAUAGGUAAUAAUACACCCUUUAUCUGAGUCUGGAAGUGGUGAGAGGAACUUGAACCUUCAUAAGUCCUGUUGAGUCAGACCUGAGCAAUAGAGCCUUGUCUUCUGCCAUGGGAGACCCACAAGUACCUGCUGAAGCCCUCACCAUGGAGAAGGCUGAGAUAGAUACAGUGUCAGUAGAUGAGGCUGUGGUGGUAGUUGCUGGGACUAUCCAUUGAGUAUGUGGUUGAGGGGAGACGCAAGUGGAGCAAAUCUGGUGAGACCCAUAUACUUUGUCUGGUACAGUAGACUCCUAUUCCAUAGUCCUGUACUUUCCACUAGGAUGGAGACUCAAGAAGCACAAUUAAGCAUGUUACAGAGAAACAAAGAAGUCAUAAAUGUUUUGUAUAUUUGCAUAAUAAUAUGAGUAGAAUUGGGACAAUGGGAUUUGUUAAACUAAUACAUUCCCAUUACAAAAAAGUAAAACAAUAUGGAAAAAUAGAAAGACAAAACAAGCAUCACUUAACCCAUAAUACAGAGAGAACACUGUUAUAUAACUUGAUUUUUUUACAUUCACUCCUUAUAUUGACAUCUUCCCUUGCCAAUAAAUAUAAUUAAAUUUAUCUUUCCAUGAAAUACAGUAGACUAGAUGUUCUAUGAAACUCCUCCAGGGACAGUAUGCCUCCAAAU
rnacentral:lncRNA from 1 species